GGCCCAGAUCGUUUACCGUGAAAAAAUUAGAGUGUUCAAAGCAGGCAGAUCCAAUUUUCUGCCACCGAAUACAUUAGCAUGGGAUAAUGGAAUAGGACCCUGUCCUCCUAUUUUCAGUUGGUUUUGGCAGCGCGAGGACUAGGGUAAUGAUUAAUAGGGAUAGUUGGGGGCAUUAAUAUUUAAUUGUCAGAGGUGAAAUUCUUGGAUUUAUGAAAGAUUAACUUCUGCGAAAGCAUCUGCCAAGGAUGUUUUCAUUAAUCAAGAACGAAAGUUAGGGGAUCGAAGACGAUCAGAUACCGUCGUAGUCUUAACCAUAAACGAUGCCGACCAGCGAUUAGGAGACGUUGAAUACAAAACACCACCAUCGGCGCGGUCGUCCUUGGCGUUUUGUCAGCUUCACGGCUGGCGGGCGCGAGGGCGGUUUAGCCCGGUGGCACCGGUGAAUGACUCCCCUAGCAGCUUGUGAGA
rnacentral:rRNA from 1 species